GCUAAGAAUAUUCCGCAAUGGACGAAAGUCUGACGGAGCGACGCCGCGUGGAUGACGAAGGCCGAAAGGUUGUAAAGUCCUUUUGUCGAUGAAGAAUAAGGGUAGGAGGGAAUGCCUGCCUGAUGACGUUAGUCGGCGAAUAAGCCCCGGCUAAUUACGUGCCAGCAGCCGCGGUAACACGUAAGGGGCAAGCGUUGUUCGGAAUUAUUGGGCGUAAAGGGUACGUAGGCGGUUUGGUAAGCCCGGCGUGAAAUCCUGCAGCUUAACUGUAGAGCUGCGCUGGGAACUGCGAAACUUGAGUCAUGGAAGGGGAGUUAGAAUUCCAGGUGUAGGGGUGAAAUCUGUAGAUAUCUGGAAGAAUACCGGUGGCGAAGGCGAACUCCUGGCCAAUGACUGACGCUGAGGUACGAAAGUGCGGGGAGCAAACAGGAUUAGAAACCCUUGUAGUCC
rnacentral:rRNA from 1 species